rnacentral:misc_RNA from 1 species
UCAGCUUAGGACAUCCAUUGCUGGCUGCUUUCUGGUUUCCGACAAUCUUGAGGGGUCUAGACAACUGAGAAGUGGUUUUGCUGGUUCUACUGAGGGAGGCUGGGCCACAGCCGUUAGAGAGAAUCAGGUUUUGAAGGUGGGAAUGGAUAAUAUGAGGAUGAGGGUUUCUGAGCUUGAGAAGGAGUGUUCCAACAUGAGGCAGGAGAUUGAAAAGUUGGGUCGAACGAAAGGUUCUAGCACUUGGGGAAAUGUUUCCAAAAAAUUUGGUUUUAAGCUAAAGUCUCAGAUGUGCAGUGCUCAAGAGGGUUCUGUUAGCAACCAGAAUAAUGGCAGUGCCAAGUCUGAGAAGGCAAAAGAGAGGCAGGGAAAGCACAAGAAAAACUUAUCUCCUGAUGGGUAAGGUCCUCAUUUUAUUUUAUUUUUUCUCUUUACAUUUAUUUCUUUUUUCUUUUUUCUUUUCAAAUUGUAAUUGUUAUCAGUUGUACUUCUGCAAUGUUAGUUCAGAGACAGAAACUAAAGCUCCAUCUUGUUGUUUGUCCCUUUCCUGUUUAAUGUUGUCAUCUCUAGUGUGUAGUUUAUGUGGUGUCUGGCCUUGUAAUGAUGAUGGAAGCAAAAACUGUAAUCUUUAGUUAUUGUAGAAUUACUAAUAGACUGGAUGGCAACGAGAUGGAGCUUUAGUUUCUGUCUCUGAAC